GCCUGUAUGGCUGAGUUGGUUAAGCAUCUGACUCUUGAUUUCCACUCAGGUCAUGAUCUCCGGGUGGUGGGAUCAAGCCCCACGUCAGGCU
rnacentral:tRNA from 1 species